GAUGAACGCUGGCGGCGUGCCUAAUACAUGCAAGUCGAGCGAACAGACGAGGAGCUUUCUCCUCUGACGUUAGCGGCGGACGGGUGAGUAACAAGUGGAUAACCUACCUAUAAGACUGGGAUAACUUCGGGAAACCGGAGCUAAUACCGGAUAAUAUAUUGAACCGCAUGGUUCAAUAGUGAAAGGCGGUUUUGCUGUCACUUAUAGAUGGAUCCGCGCCGCAUUAGCUAGUUGGUAAGGUAACGGCUUACCAAGGCAACGAUGCGUAGCCGACCUGAGAGGGUGAUCGGCCACACUGGAACUGAGACACGGUCCAGACUCCUACGGGAGGCAGCAGUAGGGAAUCUUCCGCAAUGGGCGAAAGCCUGACGGAGCAACGCCGCGUGAGUGAUGAAGGUCUUCGGAUCGUAAAACUCUGUUAUUAGGGAAGAACAAAUGUGUAAGUAACUAUGCACGUCUUGACGGUACCUAAUCAGAAAGCCACGGCUAACUACGUG
rnacentral:rRNA from 1 species